CCAAUAGCGUAUAUUAAAGUUGUUGCAGUUAAAAAGCUCGUAGUUGAAUUUCGGGAUCAGUACGUUGGUCGUGCCUUCGGUACGUACUGGCGUUACUGGUUCCUACCUUCUGAGGAACCGUCAUGUCAUUAAUUUGGUGUGGUGGGAAAUCAGGACUGUUACUUUGAAAAAAUUAGAGUGUUUAAAGCAGGCUCGCGCUUGAAUACAUUAGCAUGGAAUAAUGAAAUAGGACGUUCGAUCCUAUUUUGUUGGUUUCUAGGAUUGACGUAAUGAUUAAUAGGGAUAGUUGGGGGCAUUAGUAUUCAAUUGUCAGAGGUGAAAUUCUUGGAUUUAUUGAAGACUAACUACUGCGAAAGCAUUUGCCAAGGAUGUUUUCAUUAAUCAAGAACGAAAGUUAGGGGAUCGAAGACGAUCAGAUACCGUCGUAGUCUUAACCAUAAACUAUGCCGACUAGGGAUCGGAUGAUGUUAUUUUUAAUGACUCAUUCGGCGCCUUAC
rnacentral:rRNA from 1 species